UCGUUUUUUUUCGUGCUGGUGAAUGGUAAAUUCUGUAUGCUGUCAUAUUUCUAAAUUUUGACAAUAAUGCUUUCUUCUUUUUGUUUGACUUAUUGUAGGUGAACAGCAACCCGUUGGAUUGGAUUAUCCAUCGAUGAUGGACGACUUGGCUCUUCCUCACCUGUCCUUGUAUUCCUCUCGUCCUCGUGUAGCCUACAUCCAUGAGAUGUCCAAUUGCCCAGUGAUACUUGCCCUUCAUCCUCCAAGACAGGCAUAUUUUGAUCAAACUAACAGACUAUCGAUUGAUUCUUUUUCGACAUUUUUAUUUUUCAGACCUGGAAAG